AAGUCGUAACAAGGUUUCACACGCGGAGACCCUGCAGCCCCCUCCGGGGGGAGGUAGCGCGACGAUAAAGAACGCUGCUCACUGCAAGUUGGCGCCAGCCAGCGACACGAUCGUAUUGUCGGGGACCUCCUAAAGCUCACGCCACCACCCCAGCGCCGAAAGGCGCUGGCGCCCGGUAAAAGUGCCUGAGAUGCUACAAUGGACGAUCCGCAGCGAAGCCCCUACCGCGCAAGCCACGGGGAACGUCCACAGACUAAGUGGUUGUGGGCGGCGCGUCACCGCGCCGUCUAAGAUAUAGUCGAGCCUGGGGCGAAAGCCCCGGGGUACCAGUCCGUAGGUGAACCUGCGGAAGGAUCAUUACCGAGUUCAUGCCCUCACGGGUAGACCUCCCACCCUUUGUAUACCUUACCUUUUGUUGCUUUGGCGGGCCGCCUAGCUACUGGCUUCGGCUGGUAAGUGCCCGCCAGAGGACCCCAAACCCAAACCCAUUUAUAGUGUCGUCUGAGCAAAAGUUUAAUAUUUNAAAACUUUCAACAACGGGAUCUCUUGGCUCUGGCAUCGAUGNAAGAACGCAGCGAAAUGCGAUAAGUAAUGUGAAUUGCAGAAUUCAGUGAAUCAUCGAAUNNUUUGAACGCACAUUGCGCCCCUUGGUAUUCCCGAGGGGCAUGCCUAUUCGAGCGUCAUUAUCACCCCCUCAAGCUCCGGCUUGGUGUUGAGGCCUGCCGUAAAGGCACCCUUUAAAAUCAGUGGCAGUGCCGUCCGGCUCUAAGCGUAGUAAAUCCAUCGCUAUAGACUCGGGCGGACGCUCGCCAGAACACCCCCAUUUUUAAUGAUUGACCUCGGAUUAGGUAGGGAUACCCGCUGAACUUAAGCAUAUCAAUAAGCGGAGGAAAAGAAACCAACAGGGAUUGCCUCAGUAACGGCGAGUGAAGCGGCAAAAGCUCAAAUUUGAAAUCUGGCUCUCUCAGGGUCCGAGUUGUAAUUUGUAGAAGAUGUUUCGGGUGUGGCUCCGGUUUAAGUUCUUUGGAAUAUUACAUCAUAGAGGGUGAGAAUCCCGUAUGUGACCGGCAGCCUUCGCCCAUGUGAAACUCUUUCGACGAGUCGAGUUGUUUGGGAAUGCAGCUCAAAAUGGGAGGUAUAUUUCUUCUAAAGCUAAAUAUAGGCCAGAGACCGAUAGCGCACAAGUAGAGUGAUCGAAAGAUGAAAAGCACUUUGGAAAGAGAGUUAAACAGUACGUGAAAUUGUUGAAAGGGAAGCGCUUGCAACCAGACUUGCACGCAGUUGAUCAUCCGGGGUUCUCCCCGGGGCACUCGGCUGCGUUCAGGCCAGCAUCGGUUUUGGUGGUUGGAUAAAGGCCUUGGGAAUGUGGCUUCCUUCGGGGAGUGUUAUAGCCCUCGGUGCAAUGCAGCCUACCGGGACCGAGGACCGCGCUUCGGCUAGGAUGCUGGCGUAAUGGUUGUAAGCGACC
rnacentral:rRNA from 1 species